AACUAACCUAUGAUGACCCAAAAUGAGUCUUUUGAUUUAGAUAUCAAGUCAAUCCUGGCUUCUUGCUGUCAGGCCUCUGAGCCCAAGCCAAGCCAUCGCAUCCCCUGUGACUUGCACGUAUAUGCCCAGAUGGCCUGAAGUAACUGAAGAAUCACAAAAGAAGUGAAAAGGACCUGCCCCGCCUUAACUGAUGACAUUCCACCAUUGUGAUUUGUUCCUGCCCCACCUUAACUGAGUGAUUAACCUUGUGAAUUUCCUUCUCCUGGCUCAGAAGCUCCCCCACUGAGCACCUUGUGACCCCCGCCCCUGCCCACCAGAGAACAACCCCCUUUGACUGUAAUUUUCCAUUACCUCCCCAAAUCCUAUAGAAUGGCCCCACCCCAUCUCCCUUCGCUGACUCUCUUUUCGGACUCAGCCGACCUGCACCCAGGUGAUUAAAAGCUUUAUUGCUCACACAAAGUCUGUUUGGUGGUCUCUUCACACGGACGCGCAUGAAAUUUGGUGCUGUGACUCGGAUCGGGGGACCUCCCUUGGGAGAUCAAUCCCCUGUCCUCCUGUUCUUUGCUCCGUGAGAAAGAUCCACCUACGACCUCAGGUCCUCAGACCGACCAGCCCAAGGAACAUCUCACCAAUUUUAAAUCAGAAGGCAGGAAUGUGAGGCCUCUGAGCCCAAGCCAAGCCAUCGCAUCCCCUGUGACUUGCACGUAUACGCCCAGAUGGCCUGAAGUAACUGAAGAAUCACAAAAGAAGUGAAAAGGACCUGCCCCGCCUUAACUGAUGACAUUCCACCAUUGUGAUUUGUUCCUGCCCCACCUUAACUGAGUGAUUAACCUUGUGAAUUUCCUUCUCCUGGCUCAGAAGCUCCCCCACUGAGCACCUUGUGACCCCCGCCCCUGCCCACCAGAGAACAACCCCCUUUGACUGUAAUUUUCCAUUACCUUCCCAAAUCCUAUAGAAUGGCCCCACCCCUAUCUCCCUUCGCUGACUCUCUUUUCGGACUCAGCCCACCUGCACCCAGGUGAUUAAAAGCUUUAUUGCUCACACAAA